ACUCGGAUAGCUCAUUUGGUUAGAGCAUGGUGUUGAUAAUGCCAAGGUUGCGGGUUUGAUUCUCCUACGGGGCA